rnacentral:rRNA from 1 species
UACGUAGGGUGCGAGCGUUAAUCGGAAUUACUGGGCGUAAAGUGUGCGCAGGCGGCAGAGCAAGUCGAGUGUGAAAGCCCCGGGCUUAACUUGGGAAUUGCGCUCGAAACUACUUUGCUGGAGUGUGGCAGAGGAAGGUGGAAUUCCACGUGUAGCGGUGAAAUGCGUAGAUAUGUGGAGGAAUACCGAUGGCGAAGGCAGCCCCCUGGGAUAACACUGACGCUCAUGCACGAAAGCGUGGGGAGCAAACAGG